AUACGAAGGGGGCUAGCGUUGUUCGGAAUCACUGGGCGUAAAGCGCGCGUAGGUGGAUCAAUUAGUUGAGGGUGAAAUCCCGGGGCUCAACCUCGGAACUGCCUUCAAUACUGUUAGUCUUGAGUCCGAGAGAGGUGAGUGGAAUUCCUAGUGUAGAGGUGAAAUUCGUAGAUAUUAGGAAGAACACCAGUGGCGAAGGCGGCUCACUGGCUCGGUACUGACGCUGAGGUGCGAAAGCGUGGGGAGCAAACAGGAUUAGAAACCCCUGUAGUCC
rnacentral:rRNA from 1 species